UGAAACCCAAAUCAUUCUUCUGGGCUGUCCUUCAGGUACUGUUUUCGCGCGCUCUCUCUCUCUCUCCCCACGCCGCCCCCGGAGUUGGAUGUGUUUUCUGGUGCGCCAUUGAUCGAUUAUGGUUUCUCUCCUCGGUUUGCGAGUUUUUUUUUGGCCGUUGCUUGAGGUUUCGUUUUGUUGUUUUUGGAUAGCGGGCUGUGCUUCUGCUUUGGGCUUCGAGGGUCUUCUACGCUGUGCUUCAGGUUCAACGACUCUUGUCGAUCUUCUAAUAGUGGAGAUUUGAAAGGGACAAUGGAAAGUCUUGUUAAGAUUGUCCACAUUCAAGGGCGGAGGCAAUUAUUUUCUGGGCUCAGCAUCAACUACCUCAAGGUUGUGCCAUCAGUGGCGAUUGGUUUCACUGUUUAUGAUGUUAUGAAAUCGUUCCUAAGGGUCCCGUCGUGAGAUGAAGCCACUGUAGAAGUGGUGACCAACAAAAGGAACACCAACGUCCAACCAUCAUCCCUGCACUCAUGACUACCCCAUUUUUGGAACUCAACAACAGCCAGCCACAUUGACCCAGUAAUUGAAGGGUACUUGUGCAUGGCCUUUCUUUACAACGCUGAAGGCUGUCGUCUACGUUUCAGACCAUUUAAUAAGGUCGAAAUAUCCAUUUAGCUAAGCUACGGUGAUUAUUAAUAAGGUGUAUAUAUAUAUCUCAUUCAUUCAAGAUUUCAACACAGCUUUGUAUAUUCUAUCUCUCUCUCUCUCUCUCUCUCUCUCUCUCUCUCUCUCAAGGUUGCAGAUGUGAAGUUACUUUUCAUUAGCAACCACCAUUCGGAUGAGAGAACAAGAGAAACAGUGGGGCUAUUCUCGAGCAUUAUUCGGGUAAGGAGAAUUGACUCGAGUUCAAGUGGAAAGUCAAAUUGCAUGAAAUGACCCAUUACUAUUGUCCAGCAUGGUUUUAAAUUGCGGUCGCGGUCGGGAGUAACGGGUAUGGGGAGUAUCGGGGUCAAUGUGUAAUGGGAAUCGGAGACCGCAGUCGUGAAUUUUUUUAA